AACUGUGGCGGGAGAUUCGUUUUCGGGGCCUUGUCCCGUGAAACAUCUUCGGCUGGGGAGUCAGUUGGUUGUUCUCAUCUCGUGUUUGAACAUGGUGCGGACUAAAGCAGGCAGUGUCGCUGGCACGUACAGAAAAGUGGUGGCUUCUCGAGCCCCCAGGAAGGUGCUUGGUUCCUCCACCUCCGCCGCUAAUUCCACGCCGCUUUCGUCAAGGAAAGCUGAAAAUAAGUAUGCAGGAGGGAAUCCAGUUUGUGUGCGCCCAACUCCCAAGUGGCAAAAAGGAAUCGGAGAAUUCUUCAGGCUGUCCCCUAAAGAUUCAGAAAAGGAGAAUAGGAUUCCUGAGGAGGCAGGAAGCAGUGGCUUGGGAAAAGCAAAGAGAAAAGAAUGUUGAGACUCCCAAAUUGGACUAGUUUAAAGAGCAUCUGAAGGAUUUGACCAGAUAAUGAAAGCCAAUAUUAAAUCUGCUGGAGUUUCAUGUACAAGACUGGAAAGAGACAACAUCGAGAAUUAAUGAUGUGAUUAAGUAUAACUUAAGAAAUAUGGAUACUUCAAACUGUACCUUGCAAAUAAGAAUAAUUUCAUCUUCAUCUAGAGAAAAAGGAUGAGCUAUGGAAUGGAGAUUCAGUUUCCAUUUUUUUCACGAAAUCUAGAAGGCGGUAAAAUGAUUAGGUCAUGUCCUUUGCCACCUGAUCAUACAGAUGAUGAAAAAGAAUAGAAAUUACUUAUUCACCCUUGACUGAUGUCUCCUGUUUACUCUGGUAUUCUAGGAUGUAAAUUUGCAUAAAUAUAUUUGUUCCAAUUAGCUUUGUUGAAUAAGCAUUUAAUUUAAAAAAUGAGGCUUACAUUUAGUUAUUCAAAAGCAAGUAGUUAUGAUAUUGGAAAGUUUAUAAGAUUAAUUAUGGUUACUUAACUUAGUAUUCAGUAUAAUGCAGUAUUCGGUUUCUUUUACCUGUUAAGCUUUUUCUUGCUAAAAUUAUUGCAUGGUGUUCUACUUAUGAAUCUGCUGUUUUUGAGAUUUGCUUAGAAUUUUGUACUGUUGCCAUUUUUAUUGGCAUUUGAUUAUUGGAGUGAUGCCAUAUUUUUGUUCCUUUUAUUUGCUUUAAAAAGCAGAGGUAGAUUUUUGCACAUUAAAAAAUUCAGUAUUAAUUAAACUGAACCCAUACCCUUUUUAAGAAAGGGGGCCAAAAAUGGAAUGUUGAAAAAAUUUGGAUGGCCGUCUACCUUCUUAGAAAAAUUUAAGGGCAGUUUUGUCUUAAGGAUUUAAAGGGUUGAUGAAGCUUCUAAAAACAACAACAAAAAGAUAAAAUACUCGCAUAGAAUUGGGCAGGAAAAUUCCAUAGACUACAUUAAAAGAGAGGAAUUUUCCUAGAAUAUGCAAUUGGCUUAGUGUCAUAAAAUAUUACUCUUUGGGCCUAUACUUUUCAAGUUGGAAAUCAAUAAAAUAUGAAAGGCAAAUCAUGCCAUAAGCCCAGAACUAUGUCUAAAGUCCUUAGAGCUACUAUUAUAUUUUUCAAGAUAGUCAGGGGUAUAAUUGAAGAGGUGGGUAUAAUAGUAUUUAUAACUGAUAUUCUUGCUUCCUCAUCAGGCUUUUUGCUCACUGACAACCUGUUAUCAAAACUAACCAUGUUUAACAGGAAUGCUUUCCUGAAGUUUGUUUUUAAUAAAUGAAUACUCAUUGUCACAAUACUAUCCAUAUGUGUGCUUUCUAAGAUUAUAUCCUACUAGGUAUUUCUAUUUUAUUCCUUCCAAAUGCAAAUCACUGUACUGACCUGAUUUUAUCAACUUCCAAAAUAAGUCCUUAUGACUGUAGAUUGUAUUUUUUGCUUUGUCUUUUAGAGGUGGAUAUUAAACGUAAUGAUACUGAA